GGCAGUUCGUGUUGGCCAUUCACCUGGGACACUAGGAAUUUCUGUGCUCACGCUCUACUGCAAAGUCGUGCAAGUCCAUUUUCUGUGGAUUUUCGGGUUCUGCGGAAGCAAGGGAACCGAAAACCAUGGAAGAAACCUUGAAGAGGAAAAUCAACGAGAGUACCAUACGCUUUGUUGUGUCCUGAUAAUCCAAAAGAAUCAAGAUGCAGUGGCAUUAUCUUAAUUGCCAACGCUGACAACACCCACACAAACGCAGGAUUUCAAGAAACAAAAAAAAACGAAUAAGGGUGACUGUUACCGUGAACCAGGAGAAUAAAAAAAUUGUUCUUAAGAAAUACCAGAAGAUUUCAUCCAGCAUAUUCAGCUAUAAAUAUUACUUACACACCCACACACACACACA